rnacentral:rRNA from 1 species
UACGUAGGGGGCAAGCGUUGUCCGGAUUUAUUGGGCGUAAAGAGCGUGUAGGCGGCUUUGCAAGUCCGUUGUGAAAACUCGAGGCUCAACCUCGAGACGCCGGUGGAAACUGCAAAGCUAGAGUCCGGAAGAGGAGAGUGGAAUUCCUGGUGUAGCGGUGAAAUGCGCAGAUAUCAGGAAGAACACCGGUGGCGAAGGCGGGUCUCUGGGCCGACCCUGACGCUGAGGCGCGAAAGCGUGGGGAGCGAACGGG